rnacentral:lncRNA from 1 species
UGUUUCCAUCUUGUCGAGAUUAGCCGAAUGUUGUAGCGAUGAUUCAAAUCGAUGACAUUUUUAUCCUUUGCGUUAGUUUUGUCAGCAUAAUCGUCAAUCAUAUACAUACAUAUUCAUAUUUGAGAUAUUUCAUCAUGCAUUUGCUAUUGCGUUUGAUUUAAUUAGUAUGAUACCCUAUUAUGGUGACAUUAUUUCCCCAUGCAAAUUUGGUGUGUCCAUCCUCCUUCAAUUGUAGAGUGUCG